rnacentral:rRNA from 1 species
UACGUAGGGCGCAAGCGUUGUCCGGAAUUAUUGGGCGUAAAGAGCGCGCAGGCGGCUGGUCAAGUCCGAUGUGAAAUCUCCCGGCUCAACUGGGAAACUGCAUCGGAAACUGAUCGGCUUGAAGGUGGGAGAGGGUAGUGGAAUUCCCGGUGUAGUGGUGAAAUGCGUAGAUAUCGGGAGGAACACCAGUGGCGAAGGCGACUACCUGGCCCAUUCUUGACGCUGAGGCGCGAAAGCUAGGGGAGCGAACGGG